rnacentral:lncRNA from 1 species
GGCUCAGGCAGCCUGGGGCUGAGGGCAGAGGUCCAGGGAGAGCGGUGGAGGGUGCCAGGAGAGGCUGUGUCUUCCCAAGUCAAGCAUGUUGGCGGUGGCACCUGUGUCCGCUGACCUGAGCCUGGGCGGCCACCCACCUCAUCUUUAAGAAACAAGGCCCGUAGGGCCUUUCUUCAAACCACAUCCACCUCGCCAGCCCUCUGAGGCUGGCAGCACACCUCACUACCCAGCUGGCCAGUGGAAGAUUCCACGGAACCCUCUCCUCCUCAGCACAGAGCUGAGACCCCUCCAUGAGCCCCAUGCCCCUUCCUGGUGCUGGUGCUGCUGGAGCACGGCCUUGGCCUGGGGCAGCAGGGGCCACAGUGGACAAUGCUUUUGGGAGCUGGAGCCCACUUCCUGCCCCUGCAUCCAGCCAUGGCCUUUCUGAGGCAGCAGAGACUGGAGGCGAGCGUCCCGAGGCAAACGGCGGUGGCACCUGGCUCUGUGCAGGUCUUGCUCUGUAGCCAAGGAUGGAGCACAGUGGCGCAAUCUCAGCUCACCGCAGCCUCCACCUCCCAGGCUCAAGCGACCCUCCCACUUCAGCCUCAGGAGUAGCUGGGACCACAGGUGGGUGUGCCUCUGGCUGCUUUUAACAUCCUCCCUUUGCUGUUCUGAAAACUUCACGUCAGAGUCAUAUUUAAAUGUGUAAUUACUGCUCUUUCUCCUGCUUAUAAUUCAUUAUACUUUUUGAAUUUGAGGCUUGUGUUUUUAUGAACCUUGAAAAGCCCUCUGCUGCCGGCCUCUGGAGCCACCGUCUCCCUGCCCUGCUCUCUCCUCUGCCGAGGUGCCUGUUAAGCUGCAUUCUCUCCUCCACAGCUCCCCGCUUCCUGCAGGCUUCCUGUCUCACUUUCUUUCUGUGCUCCAGAGUCUAGGCAAUCUCUUUUGUUAGAACUUCCAAUUCACCAAUACUUUCUUAUGUUGUGUCUAAUAAGCUACAUCAUCUGCUCACUGGGUUUUUUAUUUCAGUGAUUAUAGUUUUCAUUUCCAGAUAUUCCAUAUGCCUUAAAAACAUCUGCAUGAUACUCCAUGGUUUUAACUCCCCUGAUGAAUACUGUGCAUUUAACCAUCCCAGCACGUGAGGUCCCUGGGGCUGACCCCUGCUGACCCUCUCAGAACAGCUUUCUUCCUCAACGUCUUGUAAUUCCAACCAGGCUCUUCGUCUGUCUACACUCUGGGAGCCGGAAGGCCGGGAUGAGGAAGGCUUUUCUAGCAAGAGUCUUUUAGGAGACACAGGCCACGAUACUGUCAACAUAGGAAAAUGUGCAACUCCUGCGUCCCACCGUAAAACUCGAAGACGUCAAAAUACAUUCUUGAUUCUGCUCCACAAAGGGAUGUUUCCAUGGCGAUAUUUUCAAACAACAGAAAGUUCACGGCCGAUGGCGGUUACAGCUCAUGGAACUGAUGGGCAGGGCCGGGUGCAGCUUUGUAGCACGGCUGCUGCUCACAGAUUCUCUUCCAUUUGACUAAAAACCAUGCUGUCCACACCAAACAUCUGGCCUCAUCCGGAUGUUCAAAGCCAUGAAAUACAGCACUUCUGGCCAAGAAGUCUAAAUCACAGCCGAUCUACACGAGGCGGAUGGUCCACAACGCCAAGUUCCUACCCGGGCACUGAGCUCAACGCUCGCACAACUCCAAACGAGGGCGCAACCAUAUUCCCACUGACAUCCUCCUUGGGGCAGCAAGACAAGCUCCGAACAGCCUGUCCUGGGCCAACAAGAGAAGCUGGCGGGCGCCCGCUGAGCACUGUGAGCCAUCUUGUGCAUCCAGCGGUCACCAUGGUGAACAAGAAGCCAGGAAGGAAGGAAGCAAUGUCGGCAAAAGGGCUCAGAUGACAACCAAACAGAACGGUUUCCCACCCUGGGCCUCCUUUCCACACACACAGCAUCGUGGGUAUUUUAAAAUAAACAAGAUCAACGUCCAAACCUGCGCUGAGGCCUGAGCUGUGUCCGUCACUCCUGCAGGGCACAGGCCUGCCUGGCCGAAUGCAUGGGCGGUGAGAGCACAGGGCUGGGGGGACCCCUCUGUCGAGGGGCCACAGCUCCUCACACAGCAGAGCUUUAUGGAUGAAAGGGCUGAGAGGCACAGACAGGCUGAGAAAUGGGCCCAAAGUCCCACAGCAUGGAGCCAGGAGGUAGCAGACGGCCCCUGCCCGCCCCCCUCACUUGGCUGACUGCUCCCACGGCAGCCACCACCUUUAUCCUGAGUCCCGGGGUCCUCCAUCAAAUCGCUGAGCCUCGGGUGGUCUUGUGGACCCCAGCUUGUCUGUGUUGUGUUGACAACAUGGGCCUGGCUACCGGCCUAAGUGCACUUCUGAGGGGUGUCAGGGAAGCCUUUGCUGCGGCUUGGGGAUUACAGAAUUUUAAACAGCAAGAACCUUCCCUUUGCUAGUCCAAGCUUCCCUUUGUAUGAGAAACUGCUUACGUCUAGAGAGGAAAAAUGGUUGAGAAAUAGGAGGACCAGAGACCAAUCACGCGGAGUUCUUAAUCAUGUGAAAAUAUUUUAUUUUGACGUGCUUUUUCUUGAGUGCCUGAAUGUGGUGGCUCUUAGGGUAACCCCAGAAUCCUCACUGCGGCAACAAGACCUGG